GGAGAGAGACAUCAUUUAUCCGG
rnacentral:piRNA from 1 species